rnacentral:lncRNA from 1 species
CCAUAUGCCCUUCCUUCUUCCAAGCUAUGUGGUCCUUGAUCAUUUGUACCAAUAUCAAGAUCCCUGUAAUUCAAAUAGGCUUGUCUUGGGUUCUUUGAAACAAAUGGGGUCAUAAAACUGUAUAAAUCUCUUAUCUGUGAAAGGUACUCUUUUUCUGCAGCUGCACCUUCUUCGUUCCAAUUCACUGAGUACUGAAUCUUGAAUAGAAUCCCUGCUCUGUGUGGUAAGGUACUCUUUUUCUGCAGCUGCUCCUUCUUCGUUCCAAUUCACUGAGUACUGAAUCUUGAAUAGAAUUCCUGCUCUGUGUGGAAAUGGUGUUUCGCCCUCGGCAAUUUCAGCCAUUCUCCCUCCGUAAGGAUUGAACACUAAUCCCGCUUU